GAACUUUCCAGAGAUGGAUUGGUGCCUUCGGGAACUGUGAGACAGGUGCUGCAUGGCUGUCGUCAGCUCGUGUUGUGAAAUGUUGGGUUAAGUCCCGCAACGAGCGCAACCCUUAUCCUUUGUUGCCAGCGGUCCGGCCGGGAACUCAAAGGAGACUGCCAGUGAUAAACUGGAGGAAGGUGGGGAUGACGUCAAGUCAUCAUGGCCCUUACGACCAGGGCUACACACGUGCUACAAUGGCGCAUACAAAGAGAAGCGGCCUCGCGAGAGCAAGCGGACCUCAUAAAGUGCGUCGUAGUCCGGAUUGGAGUCUGCAACUCGACUCCAUGAAGUCGGAAUCGCUAGUAAUCGUGGAUCAGAAUGCCACGGUGAAUACGUUCCCGGGCCUUGUACACACCGCCCGUCACACCAUGGGAGUGGGUUGCAAAAGAAGUAGGUAGCUUAACCUUCGGGAGGGCGCUUACCACUUUGUGAUUCAUGACUGGGGUGAAGUCGUAACAAGGUAACCGUAGGGGAACCUGCGGUUGGAUCACCUCCUUACCUUAAAGAAGC
rnacentral:rRNA from 1 species